AGCAUGUGCGCGAGUCAUUGGGAAUGUUUAAACCUAAAGGCGUAAUGAAAGUGAAGGUUCUCCUCGCGAGAACCGAGGGAAGACGGGCGGUUUUCACCGUUAAAAGUGGCCGCUCCGCACUCCCGGGGCGUCUCGUUCUCAUCGCGAGAAGAGGCGCACCAAGAGCGUACACGCUGGGACCCGAAAGAUGGUGAACUAUGCCUGGUCAGGACGAAGUCAGGGGAAACCCUGAUGGAGGUCCGUAGCGAUUCUGACGUGCAAAUCGAUCGUCGGAACUGGGUAUAGGGGCGAAAGACUAAUCGAACCAUCUAGUAGCUGGUUCCCUCCGAAGUUUCCCUCAGGAUAGCUGGCGCUCGUAGCGUACGAGUCUCAUCCGGUAAAGCGAAUGAUUAGAGGCAUUGGGGUCGAAACGACCUCAACCUAUUCUCAAACUUUAAAUGGGUGAGAUCUCCGGCUUGCUCGAACACACACUAAAAUUAGUUGAAGCCGCGAGACACACGGAUCAGAGUGCCAAGUGGGCCAUUUUUGGUAAGCAGAACUGGCGCUGUGGGAUGAACCAAACGUCGAGUUAAAGCGCCUAAAUCGACGCUUAUGGGAUACCAUGAAAGGCGUUGGUAACUUAAGACAGCAGGACGGUGGCCAUGGAAGUCGGAAUCCGCCAAGGAGUGUGUAACAACUCACCUGCCGAAGUUACUAGCCCUGAAAAUGGAUGGCGCUGAAGCGUCGUGCUUAUACUCGACCGUCAGAGGCAUGUGCGAUCGGCGCCUUUAACGAGGCGCGGGUCACGAAGCCCUGACGAGUAGGAGGGUCGCGACGGUGAGCGCAGAAGGGCUGGCCGUGAGGCCGUCUGGAGCCGCCGUCGGUGCARAUCUUGGUGGUAGUAGCAAAUACUCCAGCGAAGGCCUGGAGGACUGACGUGGAGAAGGGUUUCGUGUGAACAGCCGUUGCACACGAGUCAGUCGAUCCUAAGCCCUAG
rnacentral:rRNA from 1 species